AUCCUUUUCCAAUUCAUAAGCAUGAUGAUUGGGUGUUCAAGCGGUUGUGUGAGACGUGCCUCCCUUAAACCUUGUUACAACAUCAGCACAUUACCCUUCUGACA